GGAGGGAUGAUGCUGCUCAAGUCGAGGUUCGGAUAUAAUUUUUCAACCGCAUCUCGACCGUCUUCAUACCCGACACAAUACGAAGCGAAGCCAUUUUCGAGGAUCUCUUCCCUAUAUUCUUUCGAACCUCAAAAAUUCUCAACUGUCCGACCUAGAGCUUCUCUUGCCGACUCUGCUUCUGCCUUGGCCAAAUCAGCAUUGGCUCGAGCAGAGGACAAUUCUUCUUCAACCAGUGCCAACUUUUUUAGG
rnacentral:lncRNA from 1 species